rnacentral:rRNA from 1 species
AACGAACGCUGGCGGCAUGCCUAACACAUGCAAGUCGAACGAAGGCUUCGGCCUUAGUGGCGCACGGGUGCGUAACGCGUGGGAAUCUGCCCUUUGGUUCGGAAUAACAGCUGGAAACGGCUGCUAAUACCGGAUGAUGACGAAAGUCCAAAGAUUUAUCGCCAGAGGAUGAGCCCGCGUUGGAUUAGGUAGUUGGUGGGGUAAAGGCCUACCAAGCCGACGAUCCAUAGCUGGUCUGAGAGGAUGAUCAGCCACACUGGGACUGAGACACGGCCCAGACUCCUACGGGAAGCAGCAGUGGGGAAUAUUGGACGAUGGGCGCAAGCCUGAUCCAGCAAUGCCGCGUGAGUGAUGAAGGCCCUAGGGUUGUAAAGCUCUUUUACCCGGGAAGAUAAUGACUGUACCGGGAGAAUAAGCCCCGGCUAACUCCGUG